GCACUCCUCGGGCUCAUUGCUCUCUUCAGCCUCUUCGGCCACCUCCUCCUCCUCGGGCAGCGGUGGUUUGUAGUCCACAAGAAGGAGGAGCAAAUUUCCAGACCCGCCCAUCCAAAUGGGAGCAAUCAGGAGAUCUUGGAUGGGGUUCUCAUAGGGAGGAAUGAAUGCAGGAUGGUGUCAGCUUGCAUGGAAGGAGAUCAUCCUGCCCUGAGGCAGGAAUCUCAUGCAAUGGCUGCCAGCCCAUCCCAUCCUUCUGGGAAGAUGCUCCUCCACCCUGUUGGCCAUAACUGAUGGAAUUUCUCCACUCAAUCCAGCACAGAUGAUGGGAUGAGAAAGGAACUGAGGGCCUUAGGACUGCAUGGACCAGGCUGGACAUGUCCUCCCAUAGUGGCUAUGUGGGCAUUAGCAUCACAUCCCUGCUCUCCCUUCCUGAAUAUAUGCAAUCCCACAGCCCUACAUUUCUCCAUAUUCUUGAUGCAACCCCAUGGCUAGCAGCAACAUCCCAUCCCAUCACCAUCCUCCUUAGAGUGCCUGCUAUUGUUUUUCUGCAUUUCUCAUCUCCUCUCCCUC
rnacentral:lncRNA from 1 species